rnacentral:rRNA from 1 species
AGCGAACGCUGGCGGCAGGCCUAACACAUGCAAGUCGAACGAAGUCUUCGGACUUCGUGGCGGACGGGUGAGUAACACGUGGGAACCUGCCUUUAGGUUCGGAAUAACUCAGGGAAACUUGUGCUAAUACCUCAUGUGCCCUUCGGGCGAAAGAUUUAUCGCCUUUAGAUCGGCCCGCGUCUGAUUAGCUAGUUGGUGAGGUAAAGGCUCACCAAGGCUACGAUCGGUAGCCGGUCUGAGAGGAUGACCAGCCACAUUGGGACUGAGACACGGCCCAAACUCCUACGGGAGGCGGCAGUGGGGAAUCUUGCGCAAUGGGCGAAAGCCUGACGCAGCCAUGCCGCGUGGAUGAUGAAGGUCUUAGGAUUGUAAAAUCCUUUCACCGGUGAAGAUAAUGACUGUAGCCGGAGAAGAAGCCCCGGCUAACUUCGUGCCAGCAGCCGCCGUAAGAC